GAUGAAGGAACGCAGCAAAAUGCGAUAAGUAAUGUGAAUUGCAGAAUUCAGUGAAUCAUCGAAUCUUUGAACGCACAUUGCGCCCGCCAGUAUUCUGGCGGGCAUGCCUGUUCGAGCGUCAUUUCAACCCUCAAGCACAGCUUGGUGUUGGGACUCGCGUUAAUUCGCGUUCCUCAAAUUGAUUGGCGGUCACGUCGAGCUUCCAUAGCGUAGUAGUAAAACCCUCGUUACUGGUAAUCGUCGCGGCCACGCCGUUAAACCCCAACUUCUGAAUGUUGACCUCGGAUCAGGUAGGAAUACCCGCUGAACUUAAGCAUAUCAAUAAGCGGAGGA
rnacentral:misc_RNA from 1 species